rnacentral:sRNA from 1 species
UAGAGUUAUAACAAAUAGAUAAAUAAC